UACAGAGGGUGCAAGCGUUAAUCGGAGUUACUGGGCGUAAAGGGCGCGUAGGUGGUUUAGUAAGUGAGAUGUGAAAUCCCUGGGCUUAACCUAGGAACUGCAUCUUAUACUGUUAGACUUGAGUACUGUAGAGGGUAGUGGAAUUUCCGGUGUAGCGGUGAAAUGCGUAGAGAUCGGAAGGAACACCAGUGGCGAAGGCGGCUACCUGGACAGAUACUGACACUGAGGCGCGAAAGCGUGGGGAGCAAACAGG
rnacentral:rRNA from 1 species